rnacentral:tRNA from 1 species
GCCGAAAUGGCGGAAUUGGCAGACGCACUGGACUCAAAAUCCAGCGGUAGCAAUAUCGUGCGGGUUCGACUCCCGCUUUCGGCA